rnacentral:lncRNA from 1 species
AUUAUUUUUCGGAAAAUCUAGCUAAGGUCUAAUUAACUAUUCCGAAUCCGUUUCAUAAACUACUUUUUUCGGAGUUGCUGGUUGCGGAACUGGAGGGGCCGGUACUAGACGAACAGGUGCCGGCGGUGCGGGAGGGGCUGGUGCUGGAGGAACAGGUGCCGGUGCUGGACGUACUGGUGCCGGUGCAGGAUUAACCGAGAGAUAAAACCAGAAAGCAUCUUGGGGAUUAGGUGGUAGAGCCCUCUUACGAGGUAAUUGUUUCACUCUACGUGGCAUUUUUAAAAUCUAAAAAAAAAUUAAUUAAUUUAUUAUUAAACAAAUAAUUAAUUAAAUAAACAUUCAUUUUUAAACAAAUAAUAAUUUUAUUAAUAAAAACAAUCAAUUAAACAUUUAUUACAUAAGAAUUAUUUUAUAAUUUCAUGCAAAAUUUUCAUUAUUUAAAACAAUAUAUUAAUUAAUUAUUUAAUUAAUUAAAACUUUUUUUAAAUUAUUUAAAAAAAGUAAAUAAAAUAAUUUUUUAAUUAAUUAAAACAAAAUAAAAUAAUAUUUCUUGCAAAUUAAAUAAUAUUUCAUUUUAAUUAAACAAAUUUAUUUCAUGCAAAUAAUUCAUUAAUAAUUUACUUCAUGUAAAUUUAAUAAUUUAAAUUAAAUGAUUAAAAAAAUAUUUUUAAUUUUUACCAUAAAUAGAGUUUACUUCAAUCCUAGAUUUCACAAUUUUUCGAUUUCCAAAAACCUACAACAACACAAUAAAUAUUUAUAACAUUAUUUAAAUUAUUUAUAAAUA